UUUGCUCAAUUUUGUCUUUCUUGGGGGU
rnacentral:piRNA from 1 species